rnacentral:rRNA from 1 species
CCCACCCUACGGGGCGCAGCAGUGAGGAAUAUUGGUCAAUGGCCGAGAGGCUGAACCAGCCAAGUCGCGUGAGGGAUGACGGCCCUACGGGUUGUAAACCUCUUUUGUCGGGGAGCAAAGAGAGUCACGUGUGACUCAUUGAGAGUACCCGAAGAAAAAGCAUCGGCUAACUCCGUGCCAGCAGCCGCGGUAAUACGGAGGAUGCGAGCGUUAUCCGGAUUUAUUGGGUUUAAAGGGUGCGCAGGCGGAGGUGCACGUCAGCGGUCAAAUUGCGGGGCUCAACCCCGUACUGCCGUUGAAACUGG